rnacentral:rRNA from 1 species
UACAGGGGGGGCAAGCGUUGCUCGGAAUCACUGGGCGUAAAGCGCACGUAGGCGGCUUUUUAAGUCAGGGGUGAAAUCCUGGAGCUCAACUCCAGAACUGCCUUUGAUACUGAGAAGCUUGAGUCCGGGAGAGGUGAGUGGAACUGCGAGUGUAGAGGUGAAAUUCGUAGAUAUUCGCAAGAACACCAGUGGCGAAGGCGGCUCACUGGCCCGGUACUGACGCUGAGGUGCGAAAGCGUGGGGAGCAAACAGG